UGCUUUUGAAGUGGGGUCUUACUGUGCUGCCCACGCUGGGAACACAGGAUCCUUCUGCUUCAGCCUCCUGAGUAGCUGAGAGUGCAGGCAUGCCUGCCUUCUCAAUUUUGUUUGAUAUUUAAAAACUGUCUUUACCCUUGGUCUUUGGUGCCCUGAGUUGUCCUAAGCGUUCUGCCUUCUGUGUCUCUGACGCUUUUUUCCAUCUCACAAGCUCUUCCUGGCUCUCACUUCUAGUGAAUGGUUCCCAAGGGUUUUGUGGCUUGGCGUGUGGCUUUAUCAAUCUGUGGAGAUAGAAGCUGUGGGUCCUGGGUCACCUGGACAGAGGACGAGUCUCUUCUCUCCAGCUGGGUUUUGUUGGUUCUUUUGAGCAUCCAAAGAGUAUCAGUGGUCCAGAACCAACUUUUCUGUGCAUUUCGCACUUAGAAAUUCCCAGAAUCUGCAAAGACUGUGUAUUUGAAACCCAAGAGCAGAGGGUAGGCUGUGGUCACAGGUGCUCCUGGGGGCAUCGUCAACCUGCACUGGGAGCCUGGGCUGAGGCGCCCACCUCCCCGCUGCCCUCCUGUGUGAAUGUCAAAGCUACAUUCAUGACCCGGGUCCGUCCUCCUGUGAAGCCUGCAUCCCAUCCCCUCCUUGGCCCCUCCGAGCCCUGGCACCGUGACCACAGCAUAAGCACCUCUGCGUCCAGCUGUGGCCCCGGGGACUCUCUGUUUCUGUCCCUGGCUGUUCACUUUCUUAUGAGCCUCUGUUGGUUUCUUCUCCUGGACACCCUAGUGGCCAUCUUCACCCGUGUGGCUAUGAACGUCCUGUCCCUUCAGAGCCUGCACCUGCCAGCCAUCGCGUCCCUUGUGACCCUGCUUAGCUCAUGAUGUUGCUAAGCUCGUGGCCUUAUUCUUAGGCAACCCCUGGCUACUUCCAGCCUAGUAAGCACGGUGAGGACCCUGGCUCCUUCAUCCCCCCACCUCCAGCUGACAAUCUUUGUUCUAGAGUGCAGGUGUGGGCAACCCUCGGUCAGUGUGGAAAUUCGCAGUUAUUUUGGUGAACAGGUGGUGGUUUAUAGUCCAUCGCUCAGUGACUAAGGACUGCUGCUGCCAUUCAGCUCACCCCUGCAGGAGCUGGUGGCCGUGGCACUGGAGGGUUGUGACCCUCGGCCUAGGUGUCUUGGAAGCCUUUGCGUAGUCACGGUAACAUAACGAUUCAUCAGGAAUUGUACAAUAUGAUCUCACAGAACACAUGCUUUUUAUAGUACAGAAACUAUGGUUGGAACAAGCUGUGUUGUUCGAAGGGCCACAGAAUCAGCAGAGUCUAUCGUGUAAUGACAGACUAACUGAAUUCUCAAGGGAGGGAGAGACGCCGCAAUUUUCUUGGCUUUGUAUUUGAGGCCCAAUUUUCAAACAGAGUAUUGACUUACUUUGGGUCACAUGAAGUCAUAAUUUGGGUUGGGAUUAGCCUUAUUUAAAUCAUUUGGGCAAGACAGAAUUCAGCCAGACUCUGGAUCUAAUCCUAUUCACAGAAGAACAUAUAAUUAUAUAACUUUUAGCCCAAGAUCCAAGAGAAAUUUUUAAGUAGAUAUAGUGAGGAUUCAAGAAGAAUAUGAAGUUAAAUGGAAAAUACUUGGAAGUAGGGAUAUCAAUAGAGGAAAUAGAAAUAGAAAGUAUUUACACAAGUCUGG
rnacentral:lncRNA from 1 species